rnacentral:rRNA from 1 species
UACGGAGGGUGCAAACGUUGCUCGGAAUUAUUGGGCGUAAAGAGCUCGUAGGUGGUUUGCUGCGUCCGCUGUGAAAACCCAAGGCUUAACCUUGGGCUUGCAGUGGAUACGGGCAGACUAGAGGUAGGUAGGGGAGAAUGGAAUUCCCGGUGUAGCGGUGAAAUGCGCAGAUAUCGGGAGGAACACCGGUGGCGAAGGCGGUUCUCUGGGCCUUACCUGACACUGAGGAGCGAAAGCGUGGGGAGCGAACAGG